rnacentral:rRNA from 1 species
GAUGAACGCUAGCUACAGGCUUAACACAUGCAAGUCGAGGGGCAGCAUUUCAGUUUGCUUGCAAACUGGAGAUGGCGACCGGCGCACGGGUGAGUAACACGUAUCCAACCUGCCGAUAACUCGGGGAUAGCCUUUCGAAAGAAAGAUUAAUACCCGAUGGUAUAAUCAGACCGCAUGGUCUUGUUAUUAAAGAAUUUCGGUUAUCGAUGGGGAUGCGUUCCAUUAGGCAGUUGGUGAGGUAACGGCUCACCAAACCUUCGAUGGAUAGGGGUUCUGAGAGGAAGGUCCCCCACAUUGGAACUGAGACACGGUCCAAACUCCUACGGGAGGCAGCAGUGAGGAAUAUUGGUCAAUGGGCGCAGGCCUGAACCAGCCAAGUAGCGUGAAGGAUGACUGCCCUAUGGGUUGUAAACUUCUUUUAUAUGGGAAUAAAGUUUUCCACGUGUGGAAUUUUGUAUGUACCAUAUGAAUAAGGACCGGCUAAUUCCGUGCCAGCAGCCGCGGUAAUACGGAAGGUCCGGGCGUUAUCCGGAUUUAUUGGGUUUAAAGGGAGCGUAGGCCGGAGAUUAAGCGUGUUGUGAAAUGUAGGUGCUCAACAUCUGCACUGCAGCGCGAACUGGUUUCCUUGAGUACGCACAAAGUGGGCGGAAUUCGUGGUGUAGCGGUGAAAUGCUUAGAUAUCACGAAGAACUCCGAUUGCGAAGGCAGCCCCCUGGGAUGCGACUGACGCUCAUGCACGA